UGCAAGUCGAACGCGAAAGCACCUUCGGGUGUUAGUAGAGUGGCGGACGGGUGAGUAAUGCUUGGGAAUCUGCCUAGUAGUGGGGGAUAACUCGAGGAAACUCGAGCUAAUACCGCAUACGCCCUACGGGGGAAAGAUUUAUCGCUAUUAGAUGAGCCCAAGUCAGAUUAGCUAGUUGGUAGGGUAAUGGCCUACCAAGGCGACGAUCUGUAGCUGGUCUGAGAGGACGAACAGCCACACUGGGACUGAGACACGGCCCAGACUCCUACGGGAGGCAGCAGUGGGGAAUAUUGGACAAUGGGCGCAAGCCUGAUCCAGCAAUGCCGCGUGUGUGAAGAAGGCCUGCGGGUUGUAAAGCACUUUCAGUGGGGAAGAAAAGCCUGGGGUGAAUACCCUCGGGUCUUGACGUUACCCACAGAAGAAGCACCGGCUAACUCCGUGCCAGCAGCCGCGGUAAUACG
rnacentral:rRNA from 1 species